rnacentral:rRNA from 1 species
CACGUAGGGCGCAAGCGUUGUCCGGAAUUACUGGGCGUAAAGCGUAUGCAGGCGGAUCGUUAAGUCGGGGGUGAAAUCCCGAGGCUCAACCUCGGAACUGCCUUCGAUACUGGCGACCUUCGAGUCCGGGAGAGGUGAGUGGAACUCCGAGUGUAGAGGUGAAAUUCGUAGAUAUUCGCAAGAACACCAGUGGCGAAGGCGGCUCACUGGCCCGAUACUGACGCUGAGGCACGAAAGCGUGGGGAGCAAACAGG